GACGAACGCUGGCGGCGUGCUUAACACAUGCAAGUCGAGCGGAAAGGCCCUUUCGGGGGUACUCGAGCGGCGAACGGGUGAGUAACACGUGAGUAAUCUGCCCUUGGCUUUGGGAUAACCACCGGAAACGGUGGCUAAUACCGGAUAUGACCGCUCCCGGCAUCGGGUGGUGGUGGAAAGUUUUUUCGGCCAGGGAUGUGCUCGCGGCCUAUCAGCUUGUUGGUGGGGUAAUGGCCUACCAAGGCUUCGACGGGUAGCCGGCCUGAGAGGGUGACCGGCCACACUGGGACUGAGACACGGCCCAGACUCCUACGGGAGGCAGCAGUGGGGAAUAUUGGACAAUGGGCGGAAGACUGAUCCAGCAACGCCGCGUGAGGGAUGACGGCCUUCGGGUUGUAAACCUCUUUCAGUACCGACGAAGCGCCGAUGAUGGUGGUGACGGUAGGUACAGAAGAAGCACCGGCCAACUACGUGCCAGCAGCCGCCGUAACAC
rnacentral:rRNA from 1 species